rnacentral:lncRNA from 1 species
GGAAGUAGGCCUCUUCUCUCUUCCUCCAGAGUCACCAUGUGAGCCAAGGAAGACAGGACACUUGCCACUAGCGUCCAAUAAGAGGACAUAGAUCUUUGGGAACUGACCGGUAUUUUGACUUUAUAUUCGUCUGUGUUGAGGACUGCACUUCGAGCAAUCUGAGAGCAACUUGAGUUUCGAAACAGCAAAGUGACCAGAGCAGAUAUUUGCUUCAAAGCCUCCUCUCUUGUGAUGGUGAUGAGCAGGAGAAGCAGACCUGGAGACCAGAAUGUGAGGGCAAGGAGUAUUGGGGAGGUAAUGCCAAGAAGACUGACAGGGGCGAGAAGAGGAGGAAAGCCAGCAUGGUGUGCAACAUUAAGCAAGUUGACACCAUGGGAAACCUACUCAGUUUCAUUGGGAACAGAGAAGAAUGUACCUUAGAAAUACAUCCUACAAGUAUGUGAAGAUAUUCGACAACUUCCAUCAUUGAGUCUUUGACAUUAUUGACAGAACGAUGUACAGAUUAACCAAAGAAAGUCUAAAGACUUUCACAGAUACUGCAAGAGUGAUUAAUUGAAGGUGAACUGGAUACCUGGCCAUAGAUACAGGUGGAGCUAAACAGCACCUGCUAAAACAAUAUCCCUAUUGCUUUGGAAACAGCCAAGGCUCAGUAUACACCAGAUUUGGCUAUUCUAAUGAGGAUUUCAUCAAAACUCCCAACAGUUUUAUUUACUCUUCUCUUCAUUAUCUUAGUGACCACACUACUUCUUUUCACAACCAUAGCGAGGGUGGCAAUCCAGUGUUUUACAUGAACAUGGACUUCCAUCCAUUAUUCAAUUUUAGCAGCAACAUUUAUUGUCAAAUGAUUCAUGAGAACACUGUGUAACUGGGUCAAAGUACAAUGAACUUGGUGGGGAUGGGAAAGGCACAGACUCUUUCCUGCUGCUAAAGAGGAAAUGGGGAAGGGUCAUCAUCUACAUCAAAGUAUUCCAUUGUUUCAGCUACUAUGGAAUCUGGAAUCAAGGACUUUGAUAUUGUCUAUGUAUCCAGACCACUUGGAACGCUUUCCAGCUGCAGCAUUGGGACCUUAAUAAACGAACCAUAUUAUGUUUAUACUUCACUGUUUAAGUAAUGCUAUUUCACUCUGUGUAAAGCCACUUAAAACACCAGUGGAAACACAUGCAUGGACCAUGAAACAACUUUAAAUGGAUAAUCAAUUUUUAUCACAUAUUGGAGGUUAGACUGGUAUAUCUGAGUGAAUUAUGAAAGUCUGUAUGUGAUUCUAGCUGGGAGUGGUUGCAUACCAAAUCUUUGUCUUUGCUACAAAUUGGUCUGUAGUGAGAUAAUUGGGAGAUUCCAAAUCUAACACUUUGUUCUUUAAAAACACAAUAUAUUUUAUUUGGACAUACAUGUGAAGGAUUUUAUUAGGCUUACUAGGACAACCUUAAUUCUUUAGUAUAGCAAUUCUCUCCUAAGAUGGAAGAUAUGUGAUUGACAUAUUUCUAAGGCACUGAAAAGUUAUGAGCAGCAUGAUCAUGAGCUAAACUGUAUGGGGCAUUCUAAAACAUAUGAGACAUGGUUUUAGAAAAAAAAAAGAACAUGAGCAAUGGUGGUACAUGCCUUUAAUCCCAGCACUCAGGAGGCAGAGAGAGGUGAAUCUCUGCAAGUUUGCAGCCAGCCUAGUCUACACAGUAGUGAAUUUCAAGACAGUCAGAGUUACCUAGUAAGACCCUGUCUCAAAAACAAAACAAAAAAAUGAAAAGAAAAAACCACGAGAAACCUGUUUUUGAAACGACUAGUAAGCAUGUGAAACUCAUUAUACCUGAGCACGAUGAAAAGGUGAAUGGAGUCAAGGUAAAUUUGAACCAAUUACUGCAUAACAGAACCUAAAAGUUCAAGGAGAAAUUAGGCAAGUUCAAGUUAAUAUUCAUUAACUAUGGAGGAGUAUUUCAUGGAUGCAAAUUGCCUCAUUCUUACAAAACACUGGCAUCACCUUGGAAGAUAGCAGAGCUUCUUGGGCCACUGACUUGACACAAUAAGUUUUCUUCCAUUAACCAGGGGAUAUUGAAAAUGCCAGAUUACCUUAAAGCCCUGAACUACCAAGAAGCUACCAGCUCUUUCAUCUUCUAUCUUUAAAACAUUUGUUGUCCCCAAAGUGAAUGAUGAAGUGGAGAAGGAACCUUGAAACUGUUACCAUUCCUAUGCUACACACACACAGCACAGUCCCCCCUUUCUCUUUCACACACACACACACACACACACACACACACACACACACACACACACACACACACACUUGUGAACUAGCAGUUCCUAAAACACCUUCCAAAAUCAAUAUUAUGCUCUGUUUAUGAGGACCCAGAAUAGUAGAGCUCUAGACCAAACUCGAUUGUUUAAUAAAAUGUCACAUCCAAACACUGAUUCACUGAGUCAGCCUUUUUUCCCUGACUCUAAGACAAACACUAGGUUCAGGAUUAUCAAUCCAACCAACAACUUCUAUUAUCAUUUGGUUUUGUCUUCUAAAACUCAAAAUCCAGUGAAUUUUUACUGAGUGACAGUUCAAGUCAGACUAUUCCAAUCAAAUUCCCUCCAUUCUAUUUACUAUUUGGCCGUUUGACACUUUCAUAGAGAACCAUGGAUGCAGCACAUGUUCCUAAAACUUAAGCCUGUACAUCAUGACACAUUUAAAUCAAGAGUUCUGAUGCUAUAAAAUAUGACUUUGUGAAUGUGAUCAUUUUAUUCUAUAUUUAUCGAUUUCAUUAAAUCAUGGAUUUUUAAAGUGACAGUCUGACCUGUAACAAAUGGUUAGACAUAUCACAUAUAUUAAUGUUCAACCACUCAUGAGAAAGAACACCCUAACUUUGUUGUAGGACUUCAUUCACACAGACUUUUUCUAACCUCCGAUAUUUUUCCAUAUGUUCAUAAUCCUUUUAGACCCUAUUUCUAUAACUUCUGCCCUCUCCUUUGUGGUUAGCAAUUAAAACCAGCAAACAAUUAGCAUUGUAAAGUCUUUUACGUUCUUGCAUCAGUUCUUACAUUCUCACUCUAAUCUACUAAGAUGGCUCAGUGGCAAACAAUAACACAUGAAUAAAUUCAUUCUUUUGUUCAAAAUCACUAAUUAUCUAAAUGUCUUAUGGUACAGGGAUAGUUGAAGAAAGGUUACAAAUAUUUUAAGCUAUAAUUAGACUGGGAAGCAAAACAUAUAGCACAAUCAUAAAAUUGUAAAAUAUAAUACUAAUAAGAAAAAUAGCAUAAUUUGCACACACAAAUGUAGUAAGGGCACAGAUGAAAUUUCUGUUUCAAGUAAGAAAAAUAAUUUAUAUAUCAUAGUAAUUAGUCCAAUAAAAACAUAUAUUGUAGAUAUAUAUCUAAAUAUGUAGGAAUAUGCACAUACAUGUGUUUAGACAUUCCUAUUUCAGAUUUCAUUAGUAAUCCAGUAUUUUUCUAGUUGUGGUAUCCACUGUCAUUUUAAUUUUUUAAUUCCCUAGUUGGAGUCUGAUAAUAAUAUCCCACGGUAUUAAAAAGUUAUAAAUUAUCAAGAAAUAAAAGAAAAUCCUCCCAAUUAGGGAAAUACCUAAAUGAUCUUUGUCUUUGCCUAAUAUAUAUUAGCAUAAGUAUGAGGCUAAUAUUAUAUAUUAACAUGUGUUUUAUUAUGAUUUUAUAUAUUAUAUAAACCUCAUAUGUAACAGCAGACCAAAACUAAAAAUGCAAAAUUACAGUGUUCUGACCUAAUGUUCUUCAGUCCCAAGUAUCCAAAUCUUGACACACUUAUAACAUUCAUUUGACGAAUAAUAGUAUUUUAGUACACUUGGUAAUGCACAUGUUUUUUAUCUACCAUAAAGAGCUGUGUUUCUUCAAUUGAUUUAUAUACCACCUGGACAAAAUUAUUUUUUAUUAUGGUUUAUUUCAUUUUUCCAGCAUCCUCAACUUUAAAAUACUUGUAAACUGCCAAUGGAACAGUGACAAUGAUGAACAAAGAAUAGCCUUGGUGUUCAAUAUCCAAAGUCCACACUUCUUAAGAGAACUUCCAGUGAUUAAUGCUUUCAAACUAGCAGGGUCAGGUUAAAAAUCAAGCAACAAUCUGUCUUGUACUUCAUCAUACAAAAAAUUCACAGACUGGUUUAAAGUUUCCCCAAAGAGGUAACCAUUUGGGUCUAGAGUUUGCAUAAGGGACUUAUAAAGGAACUUGCCAAACAAUAGAAAAAUGAUCAUUACAUAGUAAUGAGGGGUGUUAAUGAUAUUUUCUAAUCAUAUGACCUCAUUUCCUGAAUUAUACUAUGUCUACAUCCUGAACAAAAAGACACAGAGAGUAUUCUACUCUUUCUAAUUUAAAAAUACUUCUUUAUCAAUUGAAAUGAUAUUCUUCACAUAUCACUCUGUGGAAUAUUGUUUUGAUGACUUCUACUGAAUUUUCUCAGUACUUUUUUGACAUGAAAUUGCAUCAUGUUAAAGCCAACAAUUCACUGAAUGUUUGGGAAACAUCACAAAUGUUUGAGGCUAUGUGCCUAAUGAAUGUAACAUGGACUCAUUUUAUCCCCCUUUAUUGGAAUUGCUUUGAAUUUUAAACAGUUGUUAGCCAUUAACUACACUUUAUACCUAAUUCCGCAUAUGUGUAUAUGUGUUUUAGAUUCCAUGUGUAAAAUUAACUUAUUUGGGAUCAUAUGCAUUUACUGAUUAUUUUUGCAUGGCAACUACUAUUGUUGACUUCCUCAAGAUAGAACAGUUAGUUCUGACCUAAAUGAAACAGAUUAAUUAAACUUCGUAUUCAAAGAUACCUUUGGUGGCUUUCCAAAUCACUCAAGCAAACUUUUGGAGAAUCUUCUCUAAUGAAUCCAUUUCUUUUCCCCUGAUUAGCUUUAAGUCCCACCUAGUCUAACAUUUACAUUGUCAUGAUCUCUUCUUCAAAAUCUGGUAGUAUUAGUUUUUUUAACAAAUUCUGUAAAGUCAACCAAAAUAAGCAUGCUAAUGACAAAUAUAAGUCAUAACAUGCUUCCUCAAACAUGCAUAUGAGCACACACACAAGAUAGGUAUUUCUUGACUCAAAAACAACAAACCUAUGAGUGUCCUUAUGGUCCCAGCUGAUAUCAGGGAAUAACUUGAGAGGCUGCAAGUCUUAAGUCUUACUUGUGAUGCCAUAAGAGUUUUUGUCAAACUUCCAGUGUCCUUUUAACUCAGAUUGAUUCAUAGUCUUUGAAAAGAGGGGGAAGGGUCAGGUGUUUUAAAUUCCACAAACUGACAUUCCCAUUAAUAAGGUGUAGAUUUACAGAAAAAUUUACAAAGAAACUACAUGUAUAUCUCCCAUACAUCAGUCUACAUGUUCAGAGUCAUGACAUUAAAUUACUCUCUUUAGUGUUUAGGAUAAGGUACAGUGUUUUAAACUGCAUUGCAAAUUAUCCAGUAGAUUAUAAAGCCUUCCAGACAUGUACCACAAAAGUGAAUCAAGUCUCAAUCCCAGAAACAGUAACCGUAUUACCUAUAGCACAAAGUAUGUAUAGCACAUGUAGAAAUGUUUAUCUGGAUAAUCUAAUUAAUUGCUAGAAGCCAGUUCUCAGAAUAUCACCAGCUGGAUCAUGAAAUUGUGCUUGGUGGGUUGCAGUACUUCUCAAGAUACUCAUAACAAAUAGAAGCCCAUUCUCUGUGGACAAGCCUUGGCAAAUAUGCUUUGGAUUUCAAACAGCCAAAAGAAUAGUUCUUAUUCUUCCACUGAACAGUGAAUUUUCUCUACAUUUACAAAGAAUCUCCUACACUUAAAGCUGUGUAGUUUAUGGGGGAAGAGGACAACACACAGCAACCAAGGAGAACACAAAAUCAGAAAGGCCCAAAUGGAAAUGAGAAUUCAGACGCAGCAGAGACAUUGUUUGGCCCAAGAGCUCACGGAUGACUCUGUAAAAAAUUUUUCAGUUUGCUUAUACCUUAAAUGAUGGGUGUGAAUACCUUGGGAGUAGGGAAUGGGCGUUUGGGAACAAAAGUAACAAUACAAGUACAAAAUUAUUGAAUAAUACAGUAUUAUUGGAGCAUGGCAUACAUGAUGGAGCCAGAAAGGAUCACAUAGCUGAGAGCCUACAUAAGGAUCUCAAGAUCAUAGGUUGGAGAAGCAAGUGAGCAAUGGCGACAUAUAAGGUUUUUAUUAUUGUUUUUAAUCUAUUUUAUUAUGGUGAAAUAUAACAGAAAUUCAGGAAAUUACAUCAAUCAUGUUCAGCUAAGGGAAUUAUCAUAAAUGCAUUUAGAAAUAGGAAUAUUACUGGGAAGCCCCCUCCUCAUGUGCCCUCCCAUCCCAGUGUUAUAAUCUCAAAGGUCACCACUAGACUGAUCUUUGUGAUAAUGAAGCAUGAAUUUCUCAAACAUCAUUUAGUUUUGUUGCUUUAUGAAUUUUGUGGAAGUGCAAUUGUGUAUUAUGAAUUAUCUUGUGCCUGGAUUCUUACAAUGUUGUUUUGUGAGCGUUCCCCGUGUUGUUGUGGAAGCUGUACUUCACCUAUUUUCAUUGCUAUGGAGUGUUCCUUUACACAAAUAAACCAUAUUGAUCCA